rnacentral:sRNA from 1 species
AUCAACUUUCGAUGGUAGGAUAGAGGCCUACCAUGGUGGUAACGGGUAACGGGGUGUUAGGGCACGACACCGGAGAGGGAGCCUGAGAAACGGCUACCACAUCCAAGGAUGGCAGCAGGCGCGCAAAUUACCCAAUCCCGACACGGGGAGGUAGUGACAAUAAAUAACAAUACGGGGUUCUUUCGGAUCUCGUAAUUGGAAUGAGUACAAUUUAAAUCUCUUAACGAGGAACAAUUGGAGGGCAAGUCUGGUGCCAGCAGCCGCGGUAAUUCCAGCUCCAAUAGCGUAUAUUAAAGUUGUUGCAGUUAAAAAGCUCGUAGUUGAAUUUCGGGGUCAGUAAGUUGGUCGUGCCACUGGUAUGCACUGGCUUUACUGAUUCCUCCUUCUUGAAGAACUGURAUGYCAUUMAYUUGGUGUUGCAGGGAAACAGGACUGUUACUUUGAAAAAAUUAGAGUGUUUAAAGCAGGCUAACGCUUGAAUACAUUAGCAUGGAAUAAUGAAAUAGGACGUUUGACCCURUUUUGUUGGUUUCUAGGAUCGACGUAAUGAUUAAUAGGGAUAGUUGGGGGCAUUAGUAUUCAAUUGUCAGAGGUGAAAUUCUUGGAUUUAUUGAAGACUAACUACUGCGAAAGCAUUUGCCAAGGAUGUUUUCAUUAAUCAAGAACGAAAGUUAGGGGAUCGAAGACGAUCAGAUACCGUCGUAGUCUUAACCAUAAACUAUGCCGACURGGGAU